rnacentral:lncRNA from 1 species
GACGGCUCAGCCGAGUUUCUGUCCUCUUGCAGGUGAACAACUAAGAAGGGAAAAGUCUACAUACUGCAUCUGCAACCUAAUUAGUUUCCUUGUAAACAACUAAAGCAAAGGGAGCUUACAGUGCCUAAAAUGGAUUGUGUGUUUUUUGGUUCAAGAAGACUUACUGCAAGUUUUGGAAGGCCCCUUCCAUGCCAGACUAUUCUAUAACUCUAUUUCUGAAAAUCAGAAUCAAUUUCAUAAGUACUUUCAGGUGAUAUUUUCCCUUCUGAAGUGUAGGACUUAGCACCUGCCCUUGCUGAAUUGAUUUGAAGAGACCAGAGGAACAGUUUGAAGAUCCCAGAAUUCAAUCUGAAACCUUUUUCUCUGCUCUUGCCCACAGCACCUGAUCCCACAAGCAGAUUUCAGAUUUGUCAUCUAUCCUGUUACCUGGCCCAUCAAAUAACAGAAUGAUAUAGGGACAGGGCUUAACCCUUACAGAUUCACAAAUGAUAUGCCAUUCUAACUUGACAUCAAACCACUAACAGAUCUGUGAGCGAAGUUUUCCAAGAAGUUAUGCUUCUAUCUUCAUAUAGACUCAUCUACAGUAUUUCACUACUUUUCUUUUGAAAACAUAUUCUGAGGCAAUAAAGCUGUUAUCUGUGACCA